UCUUUGAACUACGAAUUCAAAAGGUAUUUGAUUAAUUGAUAUUUCUAUGUAUAAUCACAGCUAUUAAGUGAGACUAUUAGUCUAUUAACUGCAUGUUGUAUUAAUUUAUAUGAAUAGCCAUCUGCGUCACUCCUUUCGGAAUUAUUAAAAAGUGGUUUCCCUGUGUCAAGUGCUAAAAUGCAUUCCAUUCCAUAUACUCCACGCCUCAGGUUACAAAAUAUGUUGAUUGUUGGCGUAUACAGGGUGAGUAAAAAAAACUGACAUCUAUGCGGCUAAUUUGAAUAUCAAAGGUAUCUGUUAGAAUAUGCUCCUGAUAUUCUGUUGACAAUGAUAAUAAGAUUAUUAGUUAAUGAAUGACAUUGAUUACUAUAGAUAUGUAUGUAAAAUGUAAUCUCUGGAUACCACAAAUUCCAGUACAAAUAGUUGCUCCAUGUACCAAACUGUAUACCAUUUAUGGUAAUAGAAUGUGAUAUGUCAAAAUACUUAUUAUAGAUAUAAUCUUGUAUAUAUAUGUGUGAUUUUUAUUAUUAAAUACAUUCUUUUGUAAAACUCCAAAGUUGUAUGUUGUGCUUCGUAUUCGAGAAAGAGCGAUGGCAACGGUACAAAACCCAAC